CCUUCUGCUGGCUGGAUUUAUCCUCAGCAUACCUAUAAUGGUCCCUGACACUUCAUGGCUCACUUCUUUCUGCCAGUAGUUCCAAGGGAAGAGGCAUUCAUGUAAAUCCUGGGAUUCAUUGGAAUCAAACCAGUUUGGGAGAUUUGUGUGUUCCUGCACCAAUCAUUCUUGGACCAGCACAAUUGGAAUUAUGGUGUAUGGAAAAGGGACAGAGAAGAAGUGGAGGAAAGGGCACUUAAUCACCUGUUACUUAUGAAAAGAAGAUUGUUGGAAGCUGCUGCAUGCUUCUUCCAUCUCAUUGGUUCAUGGCCACACUUAACCAACUACAAGGUGCAGAAGCAUUGAGAGAGUGGGAAGCUGUGGUCUGAUGGACAGGGUCCUGGCCUUGAACUCAGAAGGUGCUCUGUAUGCACGGAGGACCCAAGAUUGAAGAGAACAGUAAUGGUCUGUGCUAUGAGACAAAAAUAAUAUUAACUAACAGCAUUACUGUGAGAAUAAAAACAAGAUCAUGAAUGCAAG